rnacentral:ncRNA from 1 species
UGUGAGGAUAAUGAGCUAAGAAGGGAAUGCAGUGAAAACCUGCUACACUACCCGGUGCUGUAAGUUCCGAAGGUAAGAGCGACUGCCAAAAGCCACUGAAAUCUUCUGCGGUUGUCAACACUUUGACAACGAGCUGGUUUUGGGAAGGUUGAGCCGCUUGGAACGAGUCAGAAGACCUGCCUGUUGCGCUU